ensembl:lncRNA
GGCCAAAACGGAUGACGCAGUUUGAGGAACCUGUUGAUUAUAGCAGGAGGGAACAUGUCAGCACAACGGAUCCAGUCACGCAACUCUCGCUCACUAUCCUCCAUUGUGAACUGACUCUAGAGUAAUCAUGCCCUGCUGCUGUCUAUUGCUUAAGGCCAUGUAACAAUGCUCUGCAAGCCAGACUGCAUUCUAGGUGUCAUACAGCGUGAUAAUUGAAUCAUUUUACGGGGCUGACAAUCUCAGUCAGUAGUCAUGUGUGUGAAUGCUCUGAUUCUGCUCAGAUUAUCAUUCACUUAGACAUUUCCUUUAGAGCAUGUUGUAGUUUGUUCCCUUUGUUGGAAAAAUAAAGUGACAAUCCAAAAUCAAUGUGUCAAGUCUGCAUUCCAAAGGCAUUACAUGCCCAAGUCCUCCUGCACCCACUCUUCUCUCCGAGAACACCCUGUACUUUUAGGGUGGAGACCCCCCCUCCAAGCAGCUCCUGAAUAAUACUAGCCUGGUGUGAAAGACCCAUUGCACAUGAGACUGACUCUCCCUGGAGGCUGUGCUGUGUGCAUGCCACCCCAAUUACAGUAUUGUGUGUGCCUGUUCAGUGAGGUCUUCAGCUGAGGCUUCUCACGGUACAGAGGGCGGAAAGGGAAAAAAGAAGGAUUGAGUCGGGAGAAGAUUGUAUCAAAAUAAGAGAACCCCAAAGCUGCCUGUAAGGGACUAAGACUUAAGCAAUAAACAUUUUUCACCACGUCUAUUCACCACACAAGAUUUAUUAAUAUGCGCUGUGCCUUAAUAUCACAACAUUCUUCUACAUCUGUAAAUACAAACAUGUCUUAUUUUAUAGAGAGCUUAAGUGAUACCACAUACUUUACUCACACACGGAUCUGUGCAAAGAAGAUGUUCUAAAAACACUUGAUGAGUACGAUUGGUGCAAUAUUCUGUAAACACUUUAAAACCGCUGCUGGAAUACAAGCCAAAUGCAACUGUGAAAAGCAUUCUGCAAGGACUUGAGGAAAGGGCAACUCUAAACAGUCAGGAUGAACAGCACCCUUUCCUUUAUACCCUGCAUUAGGGAUUUUAAAGGAUCAUGUUCCCAUAGAUUACUUUUAGAUUUUGUAGGUGUCAUGAAGCCUGAAUACUGCCAUAUAUCUACGUUUCUAUCUGUACUACACAUUAUACAGUUACAUUACAGGUAAUUUAAGCUGACGCUUUUAUCCAAAGCGACUUACAUUGUAUUUUUACGCAUGGCUUUUACAUUUUUGCCCGGGGAGCAAUUAGGGGUUAGGUGUCUUGCUCAGGGACACUUCGACAUGGGACAUGGAGCAGCCGGGGCUCGAACCACUCUCUACCCCUGCGCUACGUUGACACUAAUUACAGCCUUCUUUUAAUUAACAGGAGUGACAGUGGUUAAUUUUGAGUAAACUGUUGAGUGUGUGAAACACUGAUUAGCACUACUGUAGUCAAAUCCAGAUGCAUACAGAUGAUAAGAUGCAAAAGCUUGGUCAUCCCAACAGCAGUCACUGGCAGGUUGAGGAGGCAGAUGAUCCAAGUACUGGUACGCCGUCUUGCUGUUCCAUGAAGCCAUUUAGUGCUGCUGUUGAUGACACGGUCUCCCUGGCGUUUCCAUCUCUAAACUCAGAAGGACAAGCAGAGUGCCUUACGUACAUCUCACGUCUGGCCUCGCAAUAAUCACGUGAUUUCAUUUUUCUUGAGAUCAAGACGUAAUUUUUUGUUAUCUCGAGACAAGAAAGCUUGCUUUCCUGUGUCAAGUUAAGUUAUGCAAAUUCAGAAAGAAAAGGCAUGUCUAAAGAUAAUUUGAUGAUUUCUCCCAACGAGAUGAAUUGCUUUCUGGAGAUAAUUAUGGAGAACCCAUAAAGUAGUUAAUUUGAUCACACAAGCCCAGAGAGGCAACACUGCCAGCAGUUUAAAUAUUUUUAAUUAGUUGUUAUCUUGAGAUAACAAAUCUUAUUUUCACAUGAUACCGAGUUUCAUGGAUUCUGGAAAAAACAGAAGGCAGAUUUGUCCUUCCAAGAUUUUCUUGGAAGGACAAAACAAUUAUUGGGUCCUAAAAAUGAGUUUUUUUUAUCACACAGUUCAGUUGUAAUUAACGCUUUAACUUAUCUAUUUCCGGCCAGGCUAUUCUCCUCAAUGUUAACGGAUCCAAAAUAUAUCUCUAACAGAAAGACACAUUUCAGAAGUAAUGAUAGGAAUUUGCAUUUUGCUAAGCUGGUUUCCUCAUAAUAAAUAUUAACUUGUGAGCUUGAGAUUAUGGAACAGACAGUAGUGCAAGCACAACCUUUCUCCUUCUCUGUAGGAGAUCACCUGGUGGAUGUAUUUUUUUGUAAUUAUUAGUUAUACAUGCUGUGUCACCAAAGCUUUAAAAGGUGAUUUUAUUUGUGUAGGACGUGAUGUAUGUUGGACCUUUUCAUCUGUUUCUUUCUCUGUUCUAAACUAAUUUUAUGAUCUUGUUUGAUUCUGCUAACCUAGUGUACAGAAUAAAGUUUUACUCACUACAACAAUGCUUUUUGUUUUUUUCUUUUUUAAAUAGAAUGGGACUCUAUUUUAGUUAUGGAGGCCACCAUGUUUCAUAUGUUCAAAAACACAAGUGCGUGAUGAGCCAUCCCGGGGAUACAGAGUCGACCAAAGCUUUGUCAAAAAAAUCAUUUCCAAGAUGUGUGCAGUGAGAAAGAAGGUUUGUGUGAGUCAGGGUUUACAGAGAAUGGUCCCAAAAAGGAAAUAUCCAGUUAGCGUAUGAGUGAGUUGUAUGGACAGAAAUGCCUUGCUGGUGUUAGAG